AUUUAGUAAUAAUGAUUUCCACAUGUUUUGAAAGUGUUCAUCUCUUGAAACUACUGUAUGCAGUAAUGUUUAGUGUUGAAUAUAUUGUGUUUUCAUU